AUGACUGUUAUUCCCAUUUUACAGAAGAGGAGACUGAGACACAGGUUUAAGUGAUGUACCCAAGAUCACGGAACUAGUAAGUGGCCGAAUCCGCGUUCAAAUCCAGACGGUCUGGCUCCAGAGUCCGCCUUCUACCCCACCGUUGGCUGCCUUGGUUCAGCAACAGUGACUGUCACACGGAGCCCUCAGGAGUCGCGCUGACAAUGGGUGGGCCCUGCCUUCAAGUUCCACACUGUCUGUUUGUGUCAUUACAACACUACUGGAAGUAGGUGCAGUUAUAGACCCGCUGUUCAAGGUCAGCUGAAAUGAAAGUCAGGUCACACGAGUCCAAACUGUGGGGCCACUUAACCACCAACUCCAAGCAGGAAGGUGGACGAUCCCAGACUCGGUCGAAGACAAGCAUGUCUGGUUUGCUUGUCUUCCUUCUCAACCUGAAUGGCACGAACAUGGAGAAAUGCAUACUUACCCUGCCAGCUGGAGAAAACUGGAGACGAAGGAGGGAGCCAGGAGUUUCUACUUUGCCUUCCACCAGUUGCUGACACUUUCUGAACCCCGUCUGUAAAAUGAAGUCAUGCUGCC
rnacentral:lncRNA from 10 species